UACGUAGGGCGCAAGCGUUGUCCGGAAUUAUUGGGCGUAAAGAGCUCGUAGGUGGCGUGUCGCGUCUGCCGUGAAAGUCCAGGGCUCAACCCUGGGAUGCCGGUGGAUACUGUCGGACUAGAGUACGGAAGAGGCGAGUGGAAUUCCCGGUGUAGCGGUGAAAUGCGCAGAUAUCGGGAGGAACACCAAUUGCGAAGGCAGCUCGCUGGGACGUCGACUGACGCUGAGACGCGAAAGCGUGGGGAGCCAAACAGGG
rnacentral:rRNA from 1 species